rnacentral:rRNA from 1 species
AAGCCAUAACUGACACUGAUGCACGAAAGCGUGGGUAGCGAACGGGAUUAGAUACCCCGGUAGUCCACGCAGUAAACGAUGAUAACUCGUUGUCGGCGAUAUACCGUCGGUGACCAAGCGAAAGCGAUAAGUUAUCCACCUGGGGAGUACGACCGCAAGGUUGAAACUCAAAGGAAUUGACGGGGGCCCGCACAAGCGGAGGAACAUGUGGUUUAAUUCGAUGAUACGCGAGGAACCUUACCCGGGCUUGAAAGUUAGUGCCAGGUUCAGAGAUGGACUCUUCCUUCGGGACACGAAACUAGGUGCUGCAUGGUUGUCGUCAGCUCGUGCCGUGAGGUGUCGGGUUAAGUCCCAUAACGAGCGCAACCCCUAUUGAUAGUUACCAACGAGUUAAGUCGGGGACUCUAUCGAGACUGCCAGUGUAAGCUGUGAGGAAGGUGGGGAUGACGUCAAAUCAGCACGGCCCUUACGUCCGGGGCGACACACGUGUUACAAUGGCCGGUACAGAGGGCAGCUACCCAGUGAUGGGAUGCGAAUCUCUAAAGCCGGUCUCAGUUCGGAUUGGAGGCUGGAACUCGCCUCCAUGAAGUUGGAUUCGCUAGUAAUCGCAUAUCAGCCAUGAUGCGGUGAAUACGUUCCCGGGCCUUGUACACACCGCCCGUCAAGCCAUGGAAGUUGGGGGUGCCUGAAGUCCGCUUUCCGCGAGGGGUGGCCUAGGGCAAAAUCAGUAACUAGGGCU